rnacentral:rRNA from 1 species
AUGGACGUCGCCGUCAGUGCGGCAUGGUGGGUUGUAGGCAAGGCACUGGGCCCCGUCUCAGAUGGCUUCCUGGAGGCUUGGGCUGCUAGCAAGGAUCUCGGCCCCAACGUCGACGCACUCAAGAUGGAGCUCUUGUAUGUGCAGGGGAUGCUCAACAACACCCGUGGCAGGGAGAUCGACAAUCCAGCCCUGAACGAGCUCCUGCAAAAGCUGCGGCAGCUAGCGUACGGGGCCGAGGACGUGCUGGAUGAGCUGGAUUACUUCCGCAUCCAGGACGGUCUUUACGACACCUAUGAGACCGCCGGAAAACAUGCCAAUGGUUGCAUAUGCAACCUCUUCCUCAAUGCUCAUCACACCGCCAAAGCUGUUGGCAAACUGCUUGGGUGCUCUGCAUGUUCAUGUGCUGCUAACCCUCGUGAUCCUCAGGAGCCAAGAUCGGAAGAUAAUACAAGGCAGAAAGUUCACUGCUGCGCUUGGCCAUGUUCCAGGAGAACUGCAAGUGACAACACCUCAUUGGUCCCAAACACAGACCAAGCUGACGGGGAGGCCAGUGGAUGCAUUCGCAAGCUUGCUUCUGGUGCUCUCAACACCGUGCGUACUGUCGGUAAACUCUUCCCUUGCUCAUCCUUCCCACCCGUUCAUGAUGAUGUUUCUGGCAAGUCAGUCCUUUGUGGUGCCUGCAUAGGCAAGGCACCACAGCAAAAACAUGUGAAGGAAGCACCAAAAUUAGAGUUUGAUAGGGUGGAUUUAUCUAUAAGAAUGAAGCAUAUUGUAGAGCAACUGCAGCCCUUAUGUGCAAAGGUAACAGUUAUUCUUAAUCUUGAGUUGUUGGGUUCUAGUCAUACUACCACCACAGACAUUCCCAAGAGUCCCCCCACCACCACCUCUGACAUUAUAGAAUCAACCCUGUACGGGAGGGACGCUACAAAGAAGAGAAUCAUAGAUGGUAUCACUCAUGAUAAAUAUAGUGAUAAGAACCUAACUGUCCUGCCGAUUGUUGGUCCGGGUGGCAUAGGGAAGACAACAAUUAUACAACACAUAUAUGACAGCCAAGAAGUGAAAACACAUUUUCAGAUCAAGAUCUGGAUAUGUGUGUCCCAGAACUUCAUUGUUAAUAAGCUGAUUGAAGAGAUUGAAAAAGCUAUACCUAGUGUGGAAGGUGAAAAAAAGGGCAGAGCAGAAGAGCUCAUUGAACAAAGAUUAAAUUCUAAAAGCCUUUUGCUUAUAUUAGAUGAUAUAUGGAAGUGUGAAUCUGAGGACUGGAAAAGGAUUUUAGUACCACUCACGAAAGGGCAAGCAAAGGGUAACGUAAUUCUAGUUACAACUCGGUUUCCAGCUGUAGCAGAAAUUGUUAAAACAACUGAUAAUUCAAUAGAUCUGGAGGGCUUAGAACACGGUGAGUUUAGGAAAUUUUUCCGAGCAUGCAUAUUUGGCAAUGAGCAAUCACAAAAAGAUCAAGAUGGCUUGCUUAAUAUUGGAGAUAAGAUAGCAGAAAAGCUAAAGGGGUCCCCUCUUGCAGCAAAAACUGUAGGUAGAUUAUUGAGGAACCACCUUGAUGUGCAUCAUUGGACAAGAGUCCUAGAAAGUAGAGAAUGGGAAAUGCAGACCGGUAUGCAGACCGGUGAGGGUGACAUUUUGCCUGCACUGAAACUUAGCUAUGAUUAUCUACCUUAUCAUCUGCGACAAUGUUUUUCUAGUUGUGCUUUGUUUCCUGAAGAUUACAAGUUUCACAGUGAAGAACUCAUUCAUUUCUGGAUAGGACUAGAUAUUUUACAUCCUGGUGGUCGAAAUAAAACAAUUGAAGAUGUAGGUCUGGACAAUCUAAAUGAUUUGGUGAAGAGUGGAUUUUUCAAAAAAGAUGAAACCGAGGGGCAUUAUAUCAUCCAUGACCUGUUGCAUGAUUUAGCUUUAAAGGUUGCGUCUCAUGAAUAUCUUAGUUUGCAUCACUCUAAUGUUAGAUCAGUAGAAAUUCGGCCAUCUAUCCGUCACUUGUCGAUCGUAAUAGAUGGUCCAGAUGAUAGUAAUGGGAUAACUGAUGAAAAUUUUAAGAGUGAGUUAAUGAAACUUAAGGCAAAAUUGAAGGUUGAAAACUUGCAAACAUUAAUUAUAUUUGGAGGAGGAGACAGAAGUUCUAUCAAUAUUUUGGGUGAUUUGUUCAUGGAAGCAAAUGCUCUCCGUGUUCUUUGUUUGCCCACAUUAUCAUACCCCUUGGAAUCCAUGUUGCAUAACUUUUCAUCACUUCUGCACCUGCGAUACCUAAAGCUAGGUACUUCUAUGAGCCAUAUGAAUUUACCAACGACUUUAUCUAGAUUUUAUCAUUUGAAGAUUUUGGAUCUACAAAAAUGGGAUGGUUCUUUUCUGUUACCUAGAGAUAUGAGUAACCUUGCAAAAUUAUGUCAUUUUCUUGCCCAACACAAUGAGCUUCUUUCGGGUAUUUAUAACGUGGGGAAACUAAAACUCUUACAGGAGUUAAAGGCUUUUGCAGUCAAUAAGGAAAUCAAAGGGUUUGAACUCAAUCAACUAGAGCAUUUGACCGAGCUAAGGGAAGUUAGCAUUUAUAACCUUGAGAAGAUACACACGAAAGAAGAAGCGGUUGAAGCAAAACUAAUACAGAAAGACUACUUGCACAAAUUAACACUUGACUGGGAUAGUGAGCGACCUAAUAGUGAGCCUGGCGCGGAAGUAGUGGUUCUUGAGAGCCUUCAACCACAUAGAAAUCUUCAGGAGCUGAGAAUUACAGGACACCGUGGCCCUUCUUGUCCAACAUGGCUGGGUGAUAACCUGGUUGUUCAGGCUCUACAAUCUCUCACUCUCUUCUCUGUUUCUUGGGAUAUUUUACCUUCAUUUGGGAAGAUGUGGAGUCUUCAUGAGCUAGUAUUGUCGAAUAUUUCCACAAUAAAGGAGUUUUGUCUAGAGCAAAAAAAUUGCAAGCUAGUAAAGAUAACACUCACUGGCUUAAAGAAUUUUGAAAAAUGGGUACCACGGGCUGGUCAUUUGUUCCCUUGUUUGCAAGUACUGAUUAUUAAAGAUUGCUGUAAACUUUCGGAGUUGCCAUGGUCAAGCCACAUUGUUUACCCAUUGAAACAAGAUUGUAACAUAGAUUGGUUUCCCAAACUACAAGUUCUUAGGAUAGAAAAUUGCCCUGAAGUCUUGUUACUGCCUCCUAUCCCUUGGACCCAAUCUUUGUGCUCUGUCAAGAUAAGUCAUGUGGGAUCAAAACUACUGGACGAGUUGGUCUACUCAAAAUCAUCUUCUGGAGUAGCAUUGAAAAUUAAUGGAAGUGGUGGUCUGCAUAACUUAGAUCAGUUGCUACUAUUCAGUAAAUUAACAGAACUUCAGGAAUUGAAAAUCGAUAAUUGCCCACCUCUAGAGCUGAAGUAUUUUCUAAUGCUAACCUCAUUGAAGACAUUUACGGCAUGGUCUUCAAAUCUUGGGGUGGUGGCAUCAGAAGUUCAGAGUGGUGUCGAAUGGCAGCAUCCUAUUGAGUACAUUAGUAUUGGAUGGUCUGGUCCUAGUGGAAAGGAAUUGACACAGUUCCUGUCUCAUCUCCCAAAGCUGUCCAAACUGGAAGUAUAUUGUUGUGAAAACAUAACACAGUUUGCUGUGGGGGUGGAUUUGCAGCAAGCAACAUCACCAGUAUCAACGUCAACCUCUUUAGAUGUUACAAUGGAUGAAACACAAGCAAAAGAUGAGCAGCAAGAAAUAGCAGAGAUGGAGAAGGAGGAGGCAAACACAGUGGAUGAUGAUGGGAUGUUGCUCCUCCCUGCACAUCUCUCCAAGUCACUGCAGGCGUUGGACAUCGACAGUCGUGGUCUGGUAGUUCAUUCCCUCGAUGCCCUCCAAGGCCUAACUACCCUUUGGUUAGAAGAUUGCUCUUUUCGCCACCCUUUCCCGUCCUCCCUGCUAGACCUGCAACUUAAGUCCAUGAAGGGCGUGCAUACCCUUUCAAACCUCACCUCUCUCACUCGAUUAGAAAUAUCUCGUUGCGGAGAGGAUUUAAGAUGCGAGGGCCUGUUGCCUCUCCUUACUCGGGGCCAUCUCAGCCAAUUGGAAGUAUCUAAAAGCCCCAAUUUCUAUGGUGGGUGGGAAUCCAAUCCCAUGCAGGGGAUGGCAGAAUCCAGACUGCAGAAUCUCGAGACAGAUGGCAUGGAGGGCUUCCUCAAUGCGCCUGCCCUCUGUAGCCUCCUCUCUUCCUCCCUCACCAACUUGUCCUUUAAUGGGAACAAUGAGAUGACGUGCUUCACAAAGGAGCAGGAGGAGGCCUUUCAACGCCUCACCUCGCUCCAGGAACUCCAGUUUUGGUUUUGGGACAAGUUGGAACACCUCCCUGCAGGGCUAAACAAGCUGACCAACCUCAAGAGAUUACGAAUCUAUGAUUGUCCAGCCCUCCAGUCGCUGCCCAAGGGUGGCCUCCCGAGUUCAUUGCGAGAAUUAGAUGUCAAGGGGGGCGGCAACGAGGAGCUAACAAAGCAGUGCAGGCGGUUAAUUGGAACCAUCCCAAAAAUCACACUAUAG